rnacentral:rRNA from 1 species
GACGAACGCUGGCGGCGUGCCUAAUACAUGCAAGUCGAACGAACAGACCAGGAGCUUGGUCUUCUCACGUUAGGAACGGGCGGGUGAGUAACGCGUAGAUAACCUUUCUAUAAGAAUGAGAUAAAUUCGGGAAACCCGAGCUAAUACCGGAUAAUACAUCGAAACGCAUGGUUCCGUAGUGAAUGAGGGUUUUGGUGUCACUUAUCGGUGGAUCCGCGCCGCAUUAGCUAGUUGGUAAGGUAACGGCUUACCAAGGCGACGAUGCGUAGCCGACCCGUGAGGGUGAUCGGCCACACUGGGACUGAGACACGGCCCAGACUCCUACGUGAGGCAGCAGUAGGGAAUCUUCCGCAAUGGGCGAAAGCCUGACCGAGCAACGCCGCGUGAGUGAUGAAGGUCUUCGGAUCGUAAAACUCUGUUAUUAGUGAAGAACAAAUGCGUUAGUAACUAAGCAUGUCUUGACGGUACCUAAUCAGAAAGCCACGGCUAACUACGUG